rnacentral:rRNA from 1 species
UGGGAUAAGCUGGGAAACUGGGUCUAAUACUGGAUAUGACCUUUCUCCUUAUGGGGUUUGGUGGAAAGUUUUUCGGUGUAGGAUGAGCCCGCGGCCUAUCAGCUUGUUGGUGGGGUGAUGGCCUACCAAGGCGACGACGGGUAGCCGGCCUGAGAGGGUGAUCGGCCACAUUGGGACUGAGAUACGGCCCAG